UUGGGUCUUAUAACACGAACGUUCCCUGUCUUAGUGUAUAGUGUUUCGCAAGGCACUACAUUUGAUUCUUCGAGAUGUUGUUCUUUGAAAACUAGAUAACAGAAGUAAUUCACAUUCAAUUAGUAAUGCAAGAUAUCACGUAGUGAUUCUUUUUAACGGUUAAGUUAGAAAGGGCGCACGGUGGAUGCCUUGGCACUAGGAGCCGAUGAAGGACGGGACGAACACCGAUAUGCUUCGGGGAGCUGUAAGCAAGCUUUGAUCCGGAGAUUUCCGAAUGGGGAAACCCACCAC
rnacentral:rRNA from 1 species